GCCUGGGUGGCUCAGUCGGUUGAGCGUCCGACUUCGGCUCAGGUCACGAUCUCGCGGUAUGUGAGUUCGAGCCCCACGUCGGGCU
rfam:Felis catus isolate Cinnamon breed Abyssinian chromosome B1, whole genome shotgun sequence.